UACGGGGGGAGCAAGCGUUGUUCGGAUUUACUGGGCGUAAAGGGCGCGUAGGCGGCCACCGCAAGUCGGUUGUGAAAUCUCCGGGCUUAACCCGGAAAGGUCAAUCGAUACUGCGGGGCUAGAGUGCAGAAGGGGCAACUGGAAUUCUCGGUGUAGCGGUGAAAUGCGUAGAUAUCGAGAGGAAUACCUGCGGCGAAGGCGGGUUGCUGGGCUGACACUGACGCUGAAGCGCGAAAGCUAGGGGAGCGAACGGG
rnacentral:rRNA from 1 species